GACGAAGGGGGCUAGCGUUGUUCGGAAUUACUGGGCGUAAAGCGCGUGUAGGCGGUUGUUCAAGUCGGGUGUGAAAGCCUUGAGCUCAACGCAAGAAAUGCACUCGGUACUGGAUGACUAGAGGACCGGAGAGGAUAGUGGAAUUCCCAGUGUAGUGGUGAAAUACGUAGAGAUUGGGAAGAACACCAGUGGCGAAGGCGGCUAUCUGGACGGUUUCUGACGCUAAGACGCGAAAGCGUGGGGAGCAAACAGG
rnacentral:rRNA from 1 species